UUUUUAAUAUUAUUAUUAUUACUUUGUUUUAGACAGGCAGCUGAUGCUGGUACGUCUAAAUCAAAGUUCACUUAGCACGAUUUCACAGUUUAGACAGUUUGUCUAUUCUGUUUUUAAAUUGAUUCACACUUGGUGAGUUCACAACUUCAGAGGGUAGUUUGUUCCAAGCCUUUACUAUUCGGUUUGCAAUAAAGUUUCUGCGGAUA